CUGACAGAGCGUGCACGGCCGUAGCUCGGGCCUGCGUGUGCACGUGUGCGUGUGUGAGCUUUUGACGCCAGGACACGGCGGCGAUGUGCGCGGCGAGGCGGCUGCCACAGCCGUAUAGACCCCAGCUGCAGUGAAAAGGCCAUCAAAAAGGGAUAAUCGAGUGGUGGAAUAAAAUCUACAAUCCGAAAAAUCACAGACCUGUUUUUGGAAUGAGGCUUUUCGAGUCGUAUUUUGGACUGAAGGUUGGUUGAAUCCACAAUGCAGGACCUAUGGAUUGGGAGGGCCAACUGUACAUCAUAUAUUUCACUCACUUUCUCAGUGACAGUUUCAAGUGCAAAUCAUCUCGCAUACAUGAAUAAGAAUCAGACACAAGCAGAAUCACUUGUUCUCAAACAAGCACCAUUUCCUCAUAUUACACUUGGUGAUGGAGUUACUGGUCUCUUAGCAAGGUUAAAAAUCCUUA